UACGUAGGGUGCGAGCGUUAAUCGGAAUUACUGGGCGUAAAGCGUGCGCAGGCGGUUGUGCAAGACAGAUGUGAAAUCCCCGGGCUUAACCUGGGAACUGCAUUGUGACUGCACGGCUGGAGUGCGGCAGAGGGGAUGGAAUUCCGCGUGUAGCAGUGAAAUGCGUAGAUAUGCGGAGGAACACCGAUGGCGAAGGCAAUCCCCUGGACCUGUACUGACGCUCAUGCACGAAAGCGUGGGGAGCAAACAGG
rnacentral:rRNA from 1 species